GGGGUUGUGGCUCAGCAGUAGAGCGCUUGCCUAGUGAGUGUGAGGCCCUGGGUUCGAUCCUCAGCACCA
rnacentral:tRNA from 1 species